UACGUAGGGUGCGAGCGUUAAUCGGAAUUACUGGGCGUAAAGCGUGCGCAGGCGGUUCGUUGUGUCGGUGGUGAAAUCCCCGGGCUUAACCUGGGAAUGGCCAUGGAAACUGGCGAACUGGAGUGCGGCAGAGGGGGGUGGAAUUCCGCGUGUAGCAGUGAAAUGCGUAGAGAUGCGGAGGAACACCGAUGGCGAAGGCAGCCCCCUGGGCUAGCACUGACGCUGAGGUGCGAAAGCGUGGGGAGCAAACAGG
rnacentral:rRNA from 1 species